UGGGGGAUAUUGCACAAUGGGCGAAAGCCUGAUGCAGCGACGCCGCGUGGGGGAUGAAGGCCUUCGGGUUGUAAACUUCUUUUGCUCUGAACAAGGCAUGCUAAUGGGUGUGUUGAGUGUAGGGGUUGAUUAGCGCCGGCUAACUACGUGCCAGCAGCCGCGGUAAUACGUAGGGCGCGAGCGUUGUCCGGAAUUAUUGGGCGUAAAGGGCUUGUAGGUGGCUGGUUGCGUCUGUCGUGAAAGCUCAUGGCUUAACUGUGGGUUUGCGGUGGGUACGGGCUGGCUUGAGUGCAGUAGGGGAGGCUGGAAUUCCUGGUGUAGCGGUGGAAUGCGCAGAUGACAGGCGGAAUACCGGUGGCGAAGGCGGGGCUCUGGGCUGUUACUGACACUGAGGAGCGAAAGGAUGGGGGGCGAACAGG
rnacentral:rRNA from 1 species